rnacentral:misc_RNA from 1 species
GAUGAAGAACGCAGCGAAAUGCGAUAAGUAAUGCGAAUUGCAGAAUUCAGUGAAUCAUCGAAUCUUUGAACGCACAUUGCGCCCGCUAGUAUUCUGGCGGGCAUGCCUGUCUGAGCGUCAUUUCAACCCUCGCCCCCGGCUUUUGCUGGGAGCGGUGUUGGGGAUCGGCCGCCCGUCACUGGGAGGCCGGCCCCGAAAUAGAGUGGCGACCACGCCGUGUGCUCCUCUGCAUAGUAGUAAAUCACCUCGCAGGCGGACAGCGGUGCGGCCUGCCGUAAAACCCCCAACUCUUUCUGGUUGACCUCAGAUCAGGUAGGAAUACCCGCUGAACUUAAGCAUAUCAAUAAGCGGAGGA